GACAUCCAUACAGAUAGAAUCAUUUCUAUAGUAAACGUCCACAUCUGUGUUCUCCAAAAGAGCCACAGACUCCAACUCGGCUGAUGAGCCGAUCCACACUGCUCAAGAGUGAUGCCGCGGGUAGCUCGCUUGGCUUUGCGCCCCGAGCUGGCGAUGAUCUCGUCCCAGUAGAGCGUCUGGCUUCGGCCGGUUCUUCUGGGUGGGUAGUGCUGGACGUCUGACGAGU
rnacentral:snoRNA from 1 species